rnacentral:rRNA from 1 species
UACGUAGGGGGCAAGCGUUGUUCGGAAUUACUGGGCGUAAAGGGCGCGUAGGCGGCACGGACAAGUCGGGAGUGAAAGCCCGGGGCUCAACCCCGGAAUGUCUCUCGAAACUGUCGAGCUAGAGUGCGGAAGAGGCAACUGGAAUUCCCAGUGUAGCGGUGAAAUGCGUAGAUAUUGGGAAGAACACCUGAGGCGAAGGCGGGUUGCUGGGCCGACGACUGACGCUGAGGCGCGAAAGCCAGGGGAGCGGAACGGGAU